rnacentral:rRNA from 1 species
CCCUUAGAUGUUCUGGGCUGCACGCGCGCUACACUGAUGCGUUCAACGAGUUUUUAGCUUAUCUGAUAAGAUUGGCUAAUCUUCUGAAAACGCAUCGUGAUGGGGAUAGAUUAUUGUAAUUAUUAAUCUUCAACGAGGAAUUCCUAGUAGGUGUGAAUCAUCAGUUCACGCCGAUUACGUCCCUGCCCUUUGUACACACCGCCCGUCGCACCUACCGAUUGAAUGGUCCGGUGAAGCCUCCGGAUUGGCGCGCACCUCGGUGCCGCCGAGAAGUUGGCUAAACCUUACCAUUUAGAGGAAGGUGAAGUCGUAACA